rnacentral:rRNA from 1 species
CUCAACCGGUAGAGUGCAUUUGAAACUGUAUAUCUUGAGUGUAGCAGAGGAGAGCGGAAUUCCUGGAGUAGCGGUGAAAUGCGUAGAUAUCAGGAAGAACACCAGUGGCGAAGGCGGCUCUCCGGGCUACGACUGACGCUGAGGUACGAAAGCCAGGAUAGCGAACGGGAUUAGAUACCCCGGUAGUCCUGGCUGUAAACGCUGGACACUAGGUGUCGGAGGUUCGAUUCCUUCAGUGCCGCAGUUAACGCAUUAAGUGUCCCGCCUGGGGAUUACGGUCGCAAGACUGAAACUCAAAGGAAUUGACGGGGGCCCGCACAAGCGGUGGAGCAUGUGGUUUAAUUCGAUGCAACGCGAAGAACCUUACCGAGGCUUGACAUCCCGUGAGAACCUGUGAAAGCAGGAGUUGGCACUAUGUGUCACAC